GCAGAACGCGAAGAACCUUACCAGGUCUUGACAUCCCUCUGACCGGUCCGUAACGGGACCUUUCCUUCGGGACAGAGGAGACAGGUGGUGCAUGGUUGUCGUCAGCUCGUGUCGUGAGAUGUUGGGUUAAGUCCCGCAACGAGCGCAACCCCUAUCCUUAGUAGCCAGCACAUCAGGUGGGCACUCUAGGGAGACUGCCAGGGAUAACCUGGGGGAAGGUGGGGAUGACGUCAAAUCAUCAUGCCCCUUAUGAUCUGGGCUACACACGUGCUACAAUGGUGACUACAAAGAGAGGCAGCCCUGUGAAGGUGAGCGAAUCUCAAAAAAGUCAUCUCAGUUCGGAUUGUAGUCUGCAACUCGACUACAUGAAGCUGGAAUCGCUAGUAAUCGCGAAUCAGCAUGUCGCGGUGAAUACGUUCCCGGGUCUUGUACACACCG
rnacentral:rRNA from 1 species